CUCCAAGGGGGUGGUGGUGGGGUGUGCUCCAGGAAGAGGGUGACUGCUGGUAGAGGUGGGGGGCUUCCCAGUGUAACCAAGACUUGAGAGCCUGGACGUGUUAGGUCUUGAGAAGGGACCCCUGAGCGUCUGAGUGAUGAGAGAAAGCUAGAAGGUGAAACCUGCUCAGUGUGCCUUGAACAAUCAGCCUUGGGCAUGGAUUGGAGACUGUCCAGCCACUUAGAUGAUGGAAAGAGGGUCACCGUGGUCUGCCCUGGGGCUGCGUUUUCAGAAUAGGGCGGCCCACCCCUUGGGAAACGUCCUCAAUACCAGGAAUACUUGAGUGGAUUUGGUGUGACAAGUCAGCUGCGCCAUCUCCGUGAAGUUGCCUCAUCUUCAUACCCUACACAUGGGAAAAACAGCACUGAGAAAUCCAGGGCACUGCCCCAGUGGCAAUCCCACACUUCGGUCUGACGAUCCUACCCUCUGUGAUGGGGCUGAGGAAGAGCCACUAGGACCAGUCCUGACUCCAACAGAGAUGUGUUUGACUUCUAAAGUGCACGCAGAAGUGGAGAGAGACGAGUAAGUGUUGACAAGGACACACAGUAACCGGAGCCCUCACACACCGAUGAUGGGGAUGUAAAGUCGUGCCAUUUUGGAAAACAACCUGGCAGUUCCUGGAAAAGUUAAACAUAGAAUUACCAUGUGAUCCAGCAAUUCCACUCCUGGGUAUGUACCCAGGAGAAAUGAAAACAUACGUCCACAAAAAUACAUACAGUCCUCCCAGGGUGUCUAUUCCUCAGGGGCUUUGUUCCAGGACCUCCAAGGACACCAAAAUCUGAGGAUGCCCAAGUCUCUUAUGUGAAAAGAAGGGUGAAGUCAGCCCUCUGUGUCCUCAGGAUAUGUGUGCACACGUUUUCAUAGCAGCAUUAUUGAUCCUAAAGGAAAUCAACCAUGAAUAUUCAUUGGAAGGACUGCUGCUGAAGCUGAAGCUCCAGUACUUUGGCCACUUGAUGCAAAGAGUGGACUCAUGGGAAAAGACCUUGAUGCUAGGGAAGACUGCAGGCAAAAGGAGAAGGGGGCGGCAGAGGAUGAGAUGGUUAGACAGCAUCACCGGCUCAAUGGACAUGAAUCUGAGCAAACUGCAGGAGAUGGUGAAGGUCAGGAGAGCCUGCAGUCCACGGAGUCGCAAAGAGUCGGACACAACUUAGCGACUGAACAAUUAUUCAUAAAAGCCAAAAGGUGGAGACAAACCAAAUGUCCAUCAACUGAUGAAUGGAAAAUAAAUAUUCCAUGGCAGUGGAAUAUUAUUGCCAUAGAAAGGGAUGAAUACUGAUUCGCACUCCUUGAAAACUAUGCCAAGUGAGAGAAAUCAGGCACAAAGGACCACAGUUUUAUCCCAUGAUCUCACUCAUACGAAAUGUCCAGAGUAGCCAAAUCCAUAGAGACAGGACAUAGCUGCGUGGCUGGACAGGGACCUUGGGGAAGAGACACGGAGAGUCGCCACUUAAUGUCUAUAGAGUUUCUUUUUGGGGUGUUUAUAAUGUUGAACCAGAGAAGGCAAUGGCACCCCACUCCAGUGUUCGUGCCUGGAGAAUCCCAGGGACGGGGGAGCCUCGUGGGCUGCCAUCUAUGGGGUCGCAGAGUCGGGCAUGACUGAAGCGACUUAGUAGCAGCAGCAGCAGCACAGUGUUGAACGUAGAUUGUGACGGCUUUUCAGCACUGUGGAAGUAGUAAAAGUCGGUGAGCUGUGCACGUUCGAGAAUUUUUGGCUGUGCGGGCUUUCCAUUGCGGUGCAGGGGCCUCGCUAGUGUGCAGGCUUAGCUGCUCCUUGGCUCAUGGGAUCUUAGUUCCGCCACCAGGGGUCACACCUGCACCCCCUGCAUUGGAAGGCAGAUUCUUAACCCCUGGACCACCAGGGAAGCCCCAAACUGUACCCUUUAAAUGAAUGAAUUGUAUAGUAUAUAUAUAUAUAUGACUCUCUCAAGCUGUUACUGAAAAAAAUGUAGAAGGAGUUUGGUCCCUCGAAAAAUUAAACAAUUAAAAAAAAAAAUUAAACAAUUAGUAUAUGGCCCAGCAAUUCCACCUCUGGGUAUAUACUCAGAAAUCAGUGUUCACAGCACUGUCAUAUUGGCCAGAAGGUACAAACAACCCAAACCCUCAUCAGUGAACUAAUGGAUAAACACAGCGUGGCAUAUACACACAGUGAAAUAUUAUUUGGCCUUAAAAGGAAGGAUAUUCCAGUACAUGUUAUGUCAUGCAUGAACCUUGAGGACAGUAUGCUAUGUGAAAUGAACUAGACACAGAAGGACAAAUUACUAUAUGAUUCCACUUAUUUUUUAAAAUUUUUUGCCUGUGUUGCACAGUUCCCAGGAUAUUAGUUUCCUGACCAAAUUGAACCCCAGGCCGCAACAGCCAAAGAGCGGAGUUGUAAUCACUGGAUUAGCAGGGAAUCGCCAAGUAUGAUUCCACAUGAUAUGAGGUAUCAAGAGGAGUCAAACUCAUCGACACACAGUACAGAGGUG
ensembl:lncRNA